rnacentral:lncRNA from 10 species
CCCUCCUCUCUCCCUCCUCUCCCUCCUCCCUCUCUCUCUCUCUCUCUCUCGUUUUUCUCUUCCUUUCUCUUUCUCUCUCACCCUCUCUGUGCAACUCUCUUGGUCAUUCUCCUCUCUCUGUGCAACUCUUUCCUAUCCAGUAUUUUGCUCUGCAAAUUCCAUCCACCUUUGCCUCUGAAUUCUCAACUCCGUCUCCUCAGCGCAGGAAGACCUUCAGACUCCCAGCACGGUGGCCAGGAAACACUCUGCAAGCACAAAGGACAAGCAUAAUGUCAACUGAAAAAGAAAUUGAAGUUCCCUAACUUUGGGGUUCUCUUCUGUAACAUAACCCUCUGCAUGGACAAGCAUCACCCGGUCUUCUUCACAUGACCCUGUGGAAAUUGGGCUCAGGAAACUGACAUAGAUGCUGACAAUUUGUGCUACUGCUAUUGC